AGAGUUUGAUCCUGGCUCAGAAUGAACGCUGGCGGCGUGCUUAACACAUGCAAGUCGAACGAGAAAGGGAUUGCUUGCAAUCCUGAGUAGAGUGGCGCACGGGUGAGUAACACGUAGAUAAUCUACCUUCAAGCCCGGGAUAACCCUUCGAAAGGAUGGCUAAUACCGGAUGCAGUUUCAGUACACAAGUGCUGAGAUGAAAGAUUGCCUCUUCAUGAAAGCAAUUGUUUGGAGAUGAGUUUGCGUACCAUUAGCUUGUUGGUGGGGUAAAAGCCUACCAAGGCUGCGAUGGUUAGCUGGUCUGAGAGGAUGAUCAGUCACACUGGAACUGGAACACGGUCCAGACUCCUACGGGAGGCAGCAGUGAGGAAUUUUGCGCAAUGGGGGAAACCCUGACGCAGCAACGCCGCGUGAGUGAAGAAGGCCCUUGGGUCGUAAAGCUCUGUCAACUGGGAAGAAGUUGUUAUUGUUUAAUAGAUGAUAGCAUUGACGGUACCAGUGGAGGAAG
rnacentral:rRNA from 1 species